rnacentral:rRNA from 1 species
GACGAACGCUGGCGGCGUGCUUAACACAUGCAAGUCGAACGGUAAGGCCCUUCGGGGUACACGAGUGGCGAACGGGUGAGUAACACGUGGGUGAUCUGCCCUGCACUUCGGGAUAAGCCUGGGAAACUGGGUCUAAUACCGGAUAGGACCACUGCCUGCAUGGGUGGUGGUGGAAAGCUUUUGCGGUGUGGGAUGGGCCCGCGGCCUAUCAGCUUGUUGGUGGGGUGAUGGCCUACAAAGGCGACGACGGGUAGCCGGCCUGGGAGGGUGACCGGCUACACGGGGACUGGGAUACGGCCCAGACUCAUACGGGAGGCAGCAGUGGGGAAUAUUGCACAAUGGGCGCAAGCCUGAUGCAGCGACGCCGCGUGAGGGAUGACGGCCUUCGGGUUGUAAACCUCUUUCAGCACCGACGAAGCGCAAGUGACGGUAGGUGCAGAAGAAGGACCGGCCAACUACGUGCCAGCAGCCGCCGUAA